GCGCGCCUAGUGUAACGGUAGCAUGCAGGUUUCCAAAACUUGCGGUGUUGGUUCAAAUCCAGCGGCGCGGCG
rnacentral:tRNA from 1 species